AUCGAGAUUUAAUUUAAUGUUGUUUUCGUUUACGUUGAAAAAUUUUUUUGUGUGAUUCAGAAGUUCUCGAUU
rnacentral:tRNA from 1 species